rnacentral:rRNA from 1 species
UACAGAGGGUGCAAGCGUUGUUCGGAAUUAUUGGGCGUAAAGGGUGCGUAGGCGGUUUGGUAAGUCUUAUGUGAAAUCUACAGGCUCAACUUGUAGUCUGCAUGAGAAACUGCCGGGCUUGAGUAUGGGAGAGGUGAGUGGAAUUCCCGGUGUAGCGGUGAAAUGCGUAGAUAUCAGGAAGAACACCCGUGGCUAAGGCGGCUCUCUAGUACGGUACUGACGCUGAGACGCGAAAGCGUGGGGAGCGAACAGG